GCGGGCGAGCGCCUCGCCAACCCGGUCAGAUCCGGAAGGAAGCAGCCGCAACGAGCCCCGCUUGGGUCGCUGUCCAGCCUC
rnacentral:SRP_RNA from 1 species